rnacentral:rRNA from 1 species
GAUGAACGCUAGCGGCAGGCUUAACACAUGCAAGUCGAGGGGUAGAAGGAGCUUGCUCCUUUGAGACCGGCGCACGGGUGCGUAACGCGUAUGCAAUCUACCUUUUGCAGAGGGAUAGCCCAGAGAAAUUUGGAUUAAUACCUCAUAGUAUGUGAGGAUGGCAUCAUUUUCACAUUAAAGUCACAACGGCAAAAGAUGAGCAUGCGUCCCAUUAGCUAGUUGGUAAGGUAACGGCUUACCAAGGCUACGAUGGGUAGGGGUCCUGAGAGGGAGAUCCCCCACACUGGUACUGAGACACGGACCAGACUCCUACGGGAGGCAGCAGUGAGGAAUAUUGGACAAUGGGCGCAAGCCUGAUCCAGCCAUGCCGCGUGCAGGAUGACGGUCCUAUGGAUUGUAAACUGCUUUUGUACAGGAAGAAACACUACUUCGUGAAGUAGCUUGACGGUACUGUAAGAAUAAGGAUCGGCUAACUCCGUG